rnacentral:rRNA from 1 species
GGGGGCCUAUCUGCAGUCGAGCGGACAGAAGGGAGCUUGCUCCCGGAUGUUAGCGGCGGACGGGUGAGUAACACGUGGGUAACCUGCCUGUAAGACUGGGAUAACUCCGGGAAACCGGAGCUAAUACCGGAUAGUUCCUUGAACCGCAUGGUUCAAGGAUGAAAGACGGUUUCGGCUGUCACUUACAGAUGGACCCGCGGCGCAUUAGCUAGUUGGUGAGGUAACGGCUCACCAAGGCGACGAUGCGUAGCCGACCUGAGAGGGUGAUCGGCCACACUGGGACUGAGACACGGCCCAGACUCCUACGGGAGGCAGCAGUAGGGAAUCUUCCGCAAUGGACGAAAGUCUGACGGAGCAACGCCGCGUGAGUGAU